UAUUGGUUGGCUCCUUCUGGCCAUUCUUAUCAAUCUGUUGUAGCUAUAGCUAUAUUUAGAGGAUCCCAGAAUGAGCUAACUUCUUUUAUGUCAACUAUUCGAUUAGGUACCUUUAGGAAGAUCUUCCAUAGCAUCUGAUACAAUUCGGAUGAUCAGUUGAAUUAAGUUCAUGGUACCCAAUAUGUAAUCACUAUUAGCACAUUUAGUGCUAGGUUGUAGCGUUGCUCACUUAAAUCUGCCUGGUUGUUCCACCUUGGAUAUGCUUCAAUAUAAAUCUGUUGUCCACUGUCGGAUCAAUUUAGGAUAAAAGGCUUGCUACAAUAAUUUCUUUUCUUGUCAAUAACUCUUAUAUUUAUUUUGAUAUAUACUAUGGCCUAUGUUUGGCUUAUCAAGAAUUGGCCACGAGAUCUACUGAUUGUUCACUUUGGAUAUGCUCUAUGUAAAUCUGUUGUCCAUCGAUAGAACGAUUGUGUAGUACUCGUCCCAUUCGACAUUUUUUUUGAGAUUAGGAGUUAUCUGAAUUAUGUAAUUUAGCAAAGGGUUAUAGAAACCUUAAGUAUGUAUGUUGGUACGAUAUGUGAUAUAUUGAGUAUUAAGAUAAUCCCAUUUACAGGACUCAUAAUUUGCGGUUAGGUAUAAUCGAUCGAGUCAGAUGUAAGUGUGUUUGAGUUAGUCUUUGUAUAGGUUAUAUAUAGGUUUGCCUUCAUGAAUAUUGUUAUGGUGUUCUUGUUGACCAUAAUUUGGGGUUUAUUUUAAAUCUACUGAAUCAACUCGAACACAAUUUGGACUUUAGGGCAUAGGUCACAGAGGACUGGUCCUAAGAGUUUGGACGGUGUCCAACGAUAGAUUAGUUUAGAGUAGUGUAGUAUUCUUAGGUUAUUUUAGUCAUUCGGUUUAUUCACGCCUGGGUUGGAUCCCACAGCGUGUGAUUUUCUCUAUGGAUACUUGUAUUGGGUAUUUAUAGGUGUAUAUGGAAAAAAAUUGCUCAUAAGAUCAAUUUUUUUUUCCAAGUAAUGGGAGAAUGUAACGAUCAGUAUCCCGAUCGUUACUAUAAGAUUCAUUUCUGUAACUAUUAAGUAUGCAACCCGGUAUACGUUCACUCGCAUAGAGUGUAAUCUAAACUUGAGCCCAUUAUAAUUAUUUUGGUUGGUAGUAUGGUUAGUGAAUUUUACAUUUAUUCGUUGGCUCAUGGGUAAAUGACAAUUUCCGCCUGUUGACAGGACGGAAAGAAAGUGAAAGUUGAUGGUUACUUGAUCUUCGGUAGCCGUCUGCAAAUGAUGUGAUUUUCCAGCGACCGGUGUCUAGCCAUUUUAUUUUAUUUAGAAAAUAAUUAUUUAGUUGAAAAGGAAUGCAUUUAAGUUGGAAAGAAGUUUAUUUUAUGGUAUAAAUUAUGGUGAGAGUGCUGUUUUAGUUCCAAUAUCGGAGGAUUCUGGACAUUGGUCGCUGGAGAAUAGAAGAUUUAGUCAACAGAAAUAAGAAUAAUUUUUGGGAAAGAGUGGGAAAUUUUGGGACAUAUUUGGAAGUUUUGAUUUUAUUGGAAUCUUGGUUUUUAUGGAAUUUAUUUUUUGGAAUUCGCCGAUACUGAGAGGUAUCUCCAGUUGGUAACAAGGAUACAUCUCCCUCCUAGGUUGAGGAACACCGCAAGCUACCUUCCUUGGGCCUCUGAUCAUUCCCUGGAAAGAGUUGGAGAACCCAUGGUCACUUGGUAGACCGGACAGGUUUUUAUAAGUCAAUUUGAUUGUAAUUUGUUUUAAUAAUAUUUGCACUUUUACCUAUUUUUUUUUGUAUCAAUAACUUAAUAAUCCUAAUAAUAGUAUACCUUCAUUUUCUUAAACAUAAUUAAACUAAACAAUAAUUUUUCAAAAAUUUUAUAUUUCAAGGUUAGCUCAUUUAUUUUAAAAUAGUGGGGGGGAUUAUAAACUAUCUGUAAAGAUAGUGUGCACAUUAUCUCAGUUUGAAUCCUUAUCGAAACUUUGAUUUCAUUGUCAGGUAUUAUACUUACGUUUAUCACCUCCGAACAGAUACGAUAUUGUCAGCCAAUAUUGGCUUCUUCAUUAACAACAAAUUUGUACAUACAUUUUUACAUUAAUUAACUUUCAUAUAUAAACCAUUCUUUUCAUAUUUUUCACAUAUUGUAAAAACCUGUGUUAUCAACAGGAGUGUCAUAGCUUAGUACGUCCGGUUUAGCUAGUGUAUAAAAAUUGUAUAUAGGGGUUAUAGGUUUGUUUCAUUAAAUUUGUUAGUUGUACCUAAA
rnacentral:lncRNA from 1 species